rnacentral:tRNA from 1 species
AGCCCUAUAGUCAAUAAUGAUAUAAAAUUGCAAAUUUUAAGGAGUAGAUUAUAUAGUACUAAGGCUU